rnacentral:rRNA from 1 species
GACGAACGCUGGCGGCGUGCUUAACACAUGCAAGUCGAGCGGUAAGGCUCCUUCGGGAGUACACGAGCGGCGAACGGGUGAGUAACACGUGAGCAAUCUGCCCUUCUCUUCGGAAUAAGCGUUGGAAACGACGUCUAAUGCCGAAUACGACCUCCUUUCGCAUGAUCGGAGGUGGAAAGCUCCGGCGGAGAAGGAUGAGCUCGCGGCCUAUCAGCUAGUUGGGAGGUAACGGCCCACCAAGGCGACGACGGGUAGCCGGCCUGAGAGGGUGACGGCCACACUGGGACUGAGACACGGCCCAGACUCCUACGGGAGGCAGCAGUGGGGAAUAUUGGACAAUGGGCGAAAGCCUGAUCCAGCAACGCCGCGUGAGGGAUGACGGCCU